UUGCUAUCGAGCAUCCAAAAGUGUUACGGUGACUUCAUUGACAGAAUCCAAUGUUGGCGCCGAUGACAUAGAGUUGAUUUCUGUCACAAACCUCUCUUCUGCAAAAAAUGCAGGUUGCUUAGGUGGAGGCAAAUAGUUCUCAUUACCCAACAUAAGAACCACUGACGACAUCGUGGGCCUAUCUUCUGCAUGAUGUUGCACGCAUAACAAACCAAUAUGCACUGCCCGUAGUACUUGAGAGGCGACACAUGAGUCUCGCAGAGAUGAGCUAACUAGCUCAACCGACUUUCCAUCUUUGUGGAGUUUCCAUGCCUAAGUAAUUUCAAAGUAGGAAGUUAUUAGCAUAAUCUAGGGAGCUAAUAAGCCUUAAGGCUACAAAUAACUUCUAUCAUGCAUGGUUUAAAGUUAGUUGAUCAAGCGAUUAAUGGGCUAGACUAUAACUUGGGUGGGUGUUUCAGAAUAUAUAGGCCUUGCCUCAGGUUCUUAUUUACUUACAUGUCCAAUAAGGGUGUCGUUGUAAUCUUGUUGAGAGAAUCCUCUGUUUUUCUUCCCGCUCACCAUUUCCAACACUAAAACACCAAAGCUAUACACAUCCGACUUUACUGAGAAAAGGCCAUGCACUGCAUACUCCGGAGAGAUGUAACCACUGAAAUGUAGUUUCACAACUUCAUUGAUAUAUGAGAAUUUUAAAUGAAACUAAUAUAAUCAAAUGAGAAUAGUAUUCUUACUAAGUUCCAACCACUUUGUUCGUGUUAGCUUCAGUCUCAUAUCCGCUAAACUUUCUAGCAAGGCCAAAAUCUGAUAUCUUGGGAUUCAUGUCCUUGUCCAGCAAUAUAUUGCCAGCCUUCAGAUCUCUAUGGACGAUUCGUAGUCGUGAAUCUUGAUGCAAAUAAAGAAGUCCUCGAGCAAUCCCAUUGAUAAUAUGAAAACGAAGAGGCCAAUCAAGCAUGAGGCUUCUAGAUGCAUCUGCCAGAUAAUAGUCACUAAAUUAGUUUAUAUACAAUUAUUAAUGAAGUGUACUAUAUAUCACAAGUGAAAUGUGUGCGUCAAACCAAAUAUAAAGAAGUCAAGGCUUUUGUUCUCCAUGUAUUCAUAUAUUAACAUUCUUUCAUCUCCUUGGAUGCAGUAUCCGAGAAGCUUUACAAGAUUUCGAUGCUGAAGCUUGGCAAUACAUCCAACUUCAUUCUUGAAUUCAUCAACACCCUGUGACGAAGUUGCUGAGAGUCGUUUCACAGCUAUUUCUCGUCCAUCUUCAAACACACCCUAAAGAUUCAGGUUACGGAUAUAUUAUUAGCUAUCUUUCAUAUGUAAAUAUUAAUUAAUGUUUUUCACAUAAAGAGGGAAUGUAUUUCAUUACCUUGUAAACUGGACCAAAUCCACCUUCACCAAGCUUAUUGUCGAGAGCAAAGUUGUUAGUUGACUUAGCAAUCAUGGACAGGCUAAAGGCCGACAACUCUGUAUCUUUAUUCCUAUCAUCAUCAUUGGUAUACUUCUCCUCACGUGCUUGCAUCAAAACUACAAGUUCAGAUAUAUAAUUAGCGUGUCUGCUAAUUUCUAGUAAAAAAAGAAUUUGGUUGGGGUACCUUGUCUUCUCUGGCGAGAUCUUUUUUUCUUUCUCCAUGCUACAUAUAGUGCUAUAACCAGACAUACAAGAAAUGAAGCAAGUGAAGCUGACACAGCUAUGGUGAUCGUUGGUUUCUUCUUUCGAGACCCUGAGCCAUAUUCUGGGGAAGUAGAACCUUUAUACAAUCCAAAUGAAUGACAAAUGAUCGUCAGGAUGUUAUUUUGUAGAUAUACAGAUGAAAUCGGAAUCAUAUAUAUACAACUACGUACAAUUAAUUAAGGGUUUAAUAAGAGAGAUGGAGAUGGAGAAGAGAAGCCUUACUUGGUAGUUCGGAAGCAGGCAUUCUUAAGUGAAGUUCUUGUGUUUCAUCAUACACCCGAAUAUCCAUUAGAUCACCGAACCAUAGCAAGCAUCCGCUUCCACCAUCUCUGAUAUCUAAACUUGCAUAAGCUGUACAAGAGCAAUUCUCUAUGCAAGUCGUUUCACAUUCACCAAGUGUCAUGCUCAAAUCAUACACUGAACGAUUUGUAUCUGGGAAUUUUACACCUGAAAGUGUACGAAAUCCAUCCCCAUUCCCGCAAGCUAAUGGUGUUAUCCUUUGACACCCACUUGACCAAUCUGCUAAAUUCCAUUCUUCAGUGCUACGUGGUUCAAAACCAUCUAGGCAACUACAAGCAGGGGCAUUGCUAAUGUCGCAGUUUGCAUAUGAACCACAUGUAGCAUAACGUGCACAAGCAUCAACACUACUUGCAGUCGAAUAGGUAGUCCAAUUUUGUGUGCGAUUGACCCAAAUCAAGUCUUCCAUUUUGCCAUCCGCACUCAAAUGCAUCCUCGAAAUAAGCGAGUUGUUCACAAGUGCAUAUUCAUAGUAUAUCUCAUUCUCAUUGAAAACAAACUGGUGUGUGAAUAUUGAAUUUUCGCCUAAAUUAGGCAUGCCAUUGAAUGUAACACCAUUCCAUGGUCCGAAUCUCGACACUGGAACCAUAUUAUGCCUCUCAAAAAGUUGUGGGUACCCAUUUGUAUCCACCCGAAAGACAUACUGACCUGCAGAAGGAGAAGGGUCAUCAUCGCUCUUCCAUGACCUCAAGUAUGUUUCUUUUCCUGUCACCAAAUCCACGCCGAUUCUCAUUCCUGAGAGAAGGGUGUCUACAGGAUAAUCAAAACUUUGCCAUAUUAUACUUCCCUGAUCCCUCAGAACAAGAUUUCCAGUAUCCAAAAGCUGUGCCACCAAAUCGCUACCCCUGUCAGAUGCGGAUGAAUUUGAUGACCAGAUUACUGAGUUGUUACCACUGAGAAUUUGGAGUGCACCCUGGCUAAUUCUGAGCACACCAGACGUAUCAUUCAAUGGAUUCUCUGUGUUAGCAACCCACACCACCGUACGUGUUGAUAUCAUCUUGUACCAUAUCCCUACGUACCGAUUAUUUGAUGUGCCAGGUCUGAAGAACCCCAUUUCAAAGAUUUCACCAGCUGAAACAAUGGUGACACCAUCUGUGAUGGUUUGAUUUGCUGAUAUGGUGUCUACUGCUGCUGCAAAAGUUAUCAAAAUUGAGAUUAGAAGAGUACCAAAGCAUAAGAAGAGUAUGGUAAGCUUCUCCAUGAUUGAGAUCAUAUGUGGGUUAUGUGUGGGUUUAAGCCAUAAACGACAUGGGUCAAUAGAAACAAACUUUAGACCGAGGCAAAAUUCAAAGACGACGGUCCCACUUGAGAGAAUUAGCAACUGUUCCAAGUAACGCCAUUUUUCGACAACACCCACUUGGGACUUGAUACUUGAUACAAAAUGGUAAAAGAUUUAGGCAUUUAGCGCGAUCGACUUGUCACGGAAGUUAUAAUGAUUAAAACCAGAAGAUCCCAAGUAGCCAGAAAGAUAACAUAUAAAUACUCGGUCACGAUGGCCUGAGUGUGACGCGCGGGACUUGUGGGAACCUUGAUUAGUCAAUGAGUGGGCCCAAACAACCAUUGAUAGAAAAUAUCGAAUGUAUGGCGCAUGUUGUUUGUUUCGUUACGUUACGAUCUGAAAUAAAUAAUAUCAUAAAUUACCUGUUCGGUCACUGUUAGCCCGGCCCAUAGGGUGUCAUCCUGGGCCACCGCUUUAUUAUUGAUCACUUGAGGAGGCGGGAGCCGAGCGGAAUCGUUUGAAAUUCGAAACGUAAUUUUCGCAAUGGAAUUGUGCAAUCAUGUCGUAUGCAAUUCAUGAUCUUUGUUUCGAGUAUAUAAGCAGGUAUGCAUCUUUUUCUGAUUGAGCUUUGUACUGUGUAUUGAUGUUUGUAUGAAUCUUGAGUGCUUUAUAUGUGUUUUCAAUAUUUGAUUGGUGUUGCCUAUAAAAAUAUACUUAAAGUUAUAAACUUAUGUGUAUUAUUGUGUUUAGCACUUUAGCUAAUGUAUGUCCUCUCUUGUAAAUAGUUAAUGUGUAUUCUCUCUUGUAAAUUGCUUUUUUUUGUGUGUGUGUAAUGUACGAUUUCAAAACUUUCAUAGAUUUUAGAGAAAUUAAAUUGAUUUCUACGUUUUAUCCUUACAAAUAUUCCUAUUCAUUAACAUUAUUAUAAGUGUCAACAUUCCAUAUUUUUUUAAUCAUCUCAUUAAAAGUAUAUUAUGAAUAUAUCAAAUAAAAUAAAAUUGAAUGGUGAAAUAAUGACAUGUGUAAUCAUAUUAGUAGGUAUGAAUAUUUGUAAGCAUAAAAAAUAGAAGGUAAUCUAAUUUUAUAGAUUUUAUGUGGACAUACUAUUUUUUUGGUUCAUUCCAUAUCAUCAAAUAAAUAAUUAAUCCCAACAGACUAUUGAAAGUAAAGUCUUAUUUAAACACUUGGAUUAUGCAACAAAACAUAUUUAGGGCCCAUAGAUUCUACAUUAUUUUUGUUGAUGCGUCUUUAACAUAUGCAUGUAGAAAAGAAAAUCAAGUACUUAUGAUCACAAAAUGGAUCUUAACAUGAACAGAUAUACAUAUAUUAUCGAGGUUCUAAUGUUGUCAUCGUGAUGUCAUUUCCAGAAACUAGAUAACAUUGAGGCACCUUCCCUUUGGCAAAAAAUGCAGGUUGUUUAGGUUGAGAUAAUGCACCUUCUUCACCAAACAUCAAAACCACAGAUGACAUAGUUGGUCUGUCAUUUGCAUGAUGUUGUACACAUAAAAGACCGAUAUGUAUUGACCGAAGUACUUCGGAGGCUACACAUGAGUUACGCAUAUGCGCACCAAGCAACUCCAUAGCCUUACCUUCUUCAAAGAGUCUCCAUGCCUAAAAAAACCAUAAUACCCCCAACAAAAUUAAAUUAAAUGUAUAUAGAUAAAUGAUAUUUCAAAAAUAUUUAAGAAAAUAAUCGUAUUAGUGGAAAUCCUUUCCAUGUUGAGUUCAAUAAGUAAAGAACUUACAUGUGCAAGAAGAUUAUCGCUAUCAUUUUCAUGAGAAAAUCCUUGAUUUUUCUUCCCACUUACUAUUUCCAGCACAAGAACACCAAAACUGAAGACAUCUGAUUUUUCGGAGAAAAUCCCAUCUAGAGCAUACUCUGGUGAUAAAUAACCCCUGUAAGAAAAUUCGUGAUUGUGAUGAUUUAAAAAUUNNNNNNNNNNNNNNNNNNNNNNNNNNNNNNNNNNNNNAUAUAUAUAUAUAUAUAUAUGUGUGUGUGUGUGUGUGUGUGUGUGUGUGUGUGUAUAAAGAAAGUUUCCUGGUUAACUAAUGGAUUCUAAUUACAAAGUUCCAACUAUGUUGUUCGUAUUUGCUUCGUUUUCAUGUUCUGUGAACAUUCUUGCGAGACCAAAAUCAGAUAUCUUAGGAUUCAUGUCAACAUCCAGCAAAAUGUUGCUUGCUUUAAGAUCUCGAUGUACAAUUUUAAAUCGUGAAUCUUGAUGAAGAUAAAGGAGUCCUCGAGCAAUCCCAUGAAGGAUGUGAAAGCGAUCUGACCAACCUAGUACCGAACUUUUGAUUUUAUCUGCCCAAUAUAAGUUAUCAGUAUAUGAUUUACUUUAAGAAAAAAUGGAUAGCAAGCAAGGAGAAGAGGAAUUAAUUUAAUGUAUCAUAGAAAGUAGAGCUAUACCAAAUAUGAAUAAGUCCAGACUUUUGUUAGGCAUGUAUUCAUAAAUCAACAUGCUUUCAUUCCUUUGGAUGCAGUAUCCCAAAAGCUUUACAAGAUUCCGAUGUUGAAGUUUAGCAAUGAAUUUAAGUUCAUUCUUGAACUCUCCAAGACCUUGUCUUGAUGUUUUGGACAACCUUUUCACAGCUAUUUCUUGUCCGUCAUCCAGCACACCCUAAAGAUUGGAAUAUAUAUUUUUAUGUACUUCAAGAAGUAUAAUCUGUUUUGCAAUUAUGAACAAUAAAUAGAACAAUGGUUGGUUAAUUUGGCUACCUUGUAAACCGAACCAAAACCACCUUCUCCAAGCUUUUUGUCAUUUGCAAAAUUGUUAGUAGACUUGGAUAUCUUAGUCAGGCUGAAAGAUGAUAACCCUGUAUCAUCGUCUUGGCUUUCCAUGAUAUACUUUUCAUCAUCGGUUUCUGCCGUUUUAUCUGCAAAUGAUAGCAAACCAAACUAAUAUGAGUUAAUGAACGAUUUGUGUUUAAUAUUGUUAGUGAUCACUUUAUCAAAAGUAAUCAUUAGAAUUACCUCUGCAAAUGAUAGCAAACCAAACUAAUAUGAGUUAAUGAACGAUUUGUGUUUAAUAUUGUUAUAUUAGUGAUCACUAAUUUAUCAAAAGUAAUCAUUAGAAUUACCUGGUAAUUGUACUUGGGAUCUUUUCCUCUUGCUCCAAGUACCAUACAAGAUUGCUAAAAUCAAAAUAAAUAUAACAAGGAUAGAUAAAAUCGGUACCACCACUACGAUCUUUUGUCUCUUUUUGUUGGAAUCAGCUUGUUUGGAGGUCAAUUGCGGGAUUGAUGGAACUAGGAACAAAAUCAUAACAAGUAAUUAAUGGUGUUUAAAAACCCGAACUAACAUGAACAUUCAAAAAGGUGUCUUGCAUGGUUAUCUCUUUUUGAUUUAACAUUUGUAUAUUAAAGGCAAAUUAUAUAUGUAAAUAAUCUUACUUGUAAUAUUUAAGUCGGAGAUAGCCAUCCUUACGUAUAGAUCCUGGCUUUCAUCCACUGUUCUAAUAUCUAUUAGAUCAUCGAACCACAGCAAGCAUCCACUUCCGUUGAUUCUGAUAUCGAUAUUUGCAUAUGCUGUACACGAGCAAUUCCGCUUGCAUGCUGUCUCACAUUCGCCAAGUGUCAUGCUCUGAUUGUACCAUGAACGCCGAGUGUCUGGCAUUUUAACAUUUUUAAACACUCGAAAGCCAUCUCCAUUCGAACAACUUAAAGCAGUUCUACGGCGACACCCACUUGACCACUCGGAGGCACUCCAUUCGUCUGGGUUGCGUGGUUCGAACCCUUCCAUGCAGCUACAAGCCGGUGAGUUCUUGGGGUUGCAUCUUCCAUAUGAACCACAUUGUCCAAAACGGCUACACAUGUCAAUAUCCGCGUUCCAGUAUAGGAACCACAUCUGUGUUCUUUCAAUCCAGUUCAGUCGAAACGCGUCACCCUCUGGACUAAAGUAGACACGCGUCACCACUGAAGUGUUAACAAGUGUGUACCCGUAGUACACCUCCUUAUCAUCUAAAACAAAUUUGUGUGUGAAUAAUGAGUUUGAAGUAUGACUAGGCAUGCCAUUGAAAGUAAGACCGUUCCAUGGUCCAAACCUCAAGAAAGGAACAGGAUUUUGUACUUCUUUGAAGAACAACUGAGGAAACCCAUUCGUAUCCAUGAAUGCUACAUACUUUCCUGGUGAAGGAUCGUCAAGGCUCUUCCAUGAUGUCCACCGCCUAUCCCUCCCAGAGACCAAAUCCUUCCCAAAUUUCAUUCCGGCAAGAAAUGCAUCUCCAGGGUGAUCAAAACUUUGCCAAAUGAAACUUCCUUGGCCACUUUGAUCUCUAACAACAAGAUUUCCAGGGUUCAAAAGUUGUGCCACCGGAUUUAUGGUUGUGAGAGAUAUCGGGCCAGGGUUAGAUGACCAGACAGUGGUGUUGUUGCUACCUGCGAUAACCAAUAGGGAUCCGUUGAUGUCUACUCUGAAGACACCUGACAAAUCGGUUAUUGGUUUCUCCCUGUUAGCAACCCACACCACUGUCUGUGGGGAUUUGUUUUUGUACCAUAUCCCCAAAUACCGGUUCGUAGAGUUUCCAGGACUGAAAAAACCGAGUUCAUACAUUUCAUCAGCUGAAACAAGGGUAUCCCCGUCCUGGAUGGCUUCAUCGGCUGCUAUGGUGUCUUGUGCCCAACAAAUUCUCAGAUCAGACAUGAUCAGGAGGCCAAAAAUUAAGAAAUAAUGAAGGACCUUCAUUGAAGUUUUGUUUGGAGAUUUAAAUGUUAGUUCUUUUUUUCUUUGAACGGCUAACUGUUAAUUCAUUUGGAAUAUAUGCAUUUUUUUCAAAGAGUGUUAGAUCAGAAGAAGACACUAAGGGUUGACCUGGUGAGUGAUUCUCCAAGAUUUUGCUCCAGAAUUUGGACUUAGGCAGGAGCAUGCAUUUGGUCGACGGCACUAGCAUCAAACCCCACUUGCUAUGUCGAUCAUGACUGACUUUUUUGGAAUUCAAUUAAAUACAUUUUUUUUAACGACGGUUCCUCCACGGUUAAAGCUUUUAUGAAUCACUACUACAAAACAACCAUGGUACAGUACCGAUUGUUUUUUUUUUUUUUUUUUUUUUUUUUUUUUUAAUCUNCGCGUGUGUGGUAUGAUAUCAACUUCUUAAGGUUUGUACACAUUGAUACUGGACACAAAUAAUAUUUUAUUGAGGACAAGAUAUAUAAAAAGAAGAGAUAUCAGACAAUUUAAAGUUUGUCGUCUUGUUUAUUUUGAGGGCCAUGUACGAAAAAUAAAAUUGAGCCCCUACACAUAAUUCAUUUUAUAUAUAAGCAAAAUCCAUUAAUACUAUGAUAAGUCGAUAAUUGUUAAAAAAACAAUUAAAUAAACUAUAAUUGAACAUAAUUACAAGAAUCGCGAUGCUCUCAUAGCAGUUUUAGCGGUAAAGUUGUUCAUCAACUUUUCACAAUCAAUAUUCCCUAGCAUAUUGGUCUCAAUAACUAUUAUUUCCAAGUCAUUAAGUUUUUCUUGUGACAUUGUGGAGAUGAAGUACAAAUUUAACAACUUUAAUUUUGAGAAGCUAGUUUCUAUAGACGCAACAGUUGCUAGAAUAAUCAUCAAGACUCUAUUUGCAUUAAUAGCAUUAUUAAAAACCGACUUUUUUCAUAUAUUUUAAAACAUCGGUUGUGUUAGUAGUUUCAUUCGGUAAGAACUUGUUAACCAACUUUAACUCUAGAUAAAGUUAACUGGCGUCAAUAUCUGAUCAACCACCUACUUAAGUAUGGUAAGAACUCGUCAACCACCUAUAACAACUUGGCAAGUUUAAGAGAAGGAGUAGCAUCGUAGCGACUUAUGACUUGGAUUGGCAAAAUUAAGAUGUUGAAUCGACUUUGGCUUGAUGAUGAUACCUUUUAGUCAAUUUUGUUUUCAGACUUAAAUUACUAGUCUACUAUAACAAAUUGUAUGCAAAAAUUGGCCACCUCCACAACAUUGGUCAUGUGCGGUUGCCCACCUCGCAUACCCUCAAAGACGCCCAUGUUGAAUGAUUUAAUGCACAAACAAUUUUUGGAGAAAGGGAUUUCACCUUACACUAAAAAAUAAGACCAUUCCUAACACUGAAAAGAUUUCACAUUACACUAAAAAAUAAAAGCAUUCCUAUAAGACCAAAUAACCCAAAAAAGUGACCUUAUGCAUGGAGAUUAGGGAUUUGAAGUAAGUUCAAAAUUAUUAUCUCCACAAACAUUUAAAAAAAAUAAUAAAAAAAAAAAGUAAAAAAAAAUUAUCCUUUACUAAAGGUUUUAUUUGUUAUUUUUUAAUUUAUUAACUAAUAUUUUAGUUUUUAUGUUAAGUGUAGUCUCUGGUAACUUUAUAAUACAUAUAUUAAAUAAGUUGGUUGAUACAGUAUUACUAUGAUAUUCAAAAUUUUGUACCAUUGUCGUAUCAAGAUAACACAGUUGAUACUGCUGCCAACCAAACAUGUUGACAACCAAAUAUAUUGGCUACCAAUUUAAUUAAUUCAGUUCGUAAUAUGUUGGUUGGUUUUAUUUGGUAUAUAUUUGACAUCCUUUUAUUAUUUGCCAACCAAGCAUGUUGUUCUAACAUAUCACAUAAUCAAAUAACUGUAUGGUAUUUUGGGGUCAACUUACUAGCUCCGGCUAAUCAUACACCCUGCAUCCUCCUUUACUUAUUUUGAAAACCAUUUAAAAAAAAUCAUUUGAAAUUCUUUUCCCUGAUUUGAGACUGGAUUCACACGAAUGUUCUUCCAAUUCACUCAAACCAAGGCUCUGAUACCAUUUGUAGCAUCCCCCUCCGGCACGUAUCACAAUAUUGUCUGCUUUGGGCCACUCGUCACGAGGACUUCCCAAGGGGUCACCCAUCCCGAUACUACUCCCGCCCGAGCACGCUUAACUGCAGAGUUCUUAUGGGAUUUGCUGUCCUUACGACUUUAAAACGCGUUGUGUCAAGGAAGGUAUCCACACCCAUAAGCAGAUGUGGGAUCAGGUGCAACCCACCUUCACCCCCCAUUAUAGGGUUUGACGUCCCCGUCGAACACAUCGGCCCGUGCCCUAACUCUGAUACCAACUUGUAACACCCAUAAAAUUCAUACCAAAUUUAAACUUUCAAAAACAUGUAAAAUACCAAUAGUUAUUACAAAAGGUUUCCAAAAUAGUUUCAUAUCAGAGUUCCUAGAAAUCAUAAUCAUAAAUCGAGGGAGGUGUACGAUCACGCCUUCGCCUUCCCGCGGUCAUCCGCCGAACCUGAAACAAUAAUCGAUAAAUGUAAGCUCAAAAGCUUAGUGAGUUACCCCCAAAAUACCAACCUCAUAUAACCAUAACAUAUCAUACAACAAACAUAGAACAACCAUGUAUCUAGAGUCUACAGAGUGACUAGUCCACCCGCACCGGGCCUUCAGUCCACCUGAUCCACUAUCUGAGUCUUCAGUAUGACUAGACCGCCCGCACCGGGCCUUUAGUCUAUCUGGCCCACUCUCCGAGCCUCGGCACGUCUGGACCGCCCUCGCGGGGCCUUCAACCUAUCCGGACCGCUCACCGGGCCUUCGGCCUGACUAUGUCCCCUUCUGGGUCUGCAGUCUACCCGUUCCGCCCUAUGUAUGUUGGUCUACAACACGAAGCAGGACUCGCCUCAACCCAACCCCCAUACCAAUCAAUCAUGUGCACAUAACAGAUAAUUAUAUAACAGUCCAUAUAUAAACAAACCGAUCUAACAGAUCAUAUAACAUAACAAUAUCCUAACCAGGAUACCGACCUAAACUAGGUCACUAAACAUAGCAUCAUCCUAUAUACCAGGAUACCGACCUAAACCAUGUCACUCAACACAAUACCGUCCUAACUACCAGGAUGCGGAUCUAAUAGAUCAAUAAACAUAGCAAGCAAAUACCAAUACACACUUCGAGAAAAGGGCCGACCUUGGUGCCUUAGAUCCUGUCGAUAUAGUGAGGAUAACUCACCUCGAAAUGCCGAUCUGAAGAGAUGAGGUCAAAACUCCUGACCACCGCCACGAACACCACCGCCUAAAACUUCAUUGAAACCAUAACAAUCAGAGCUCAAGUUACCAAAAUACCCUUUGAAGUCAAACUGGUCAACUCUCGGUCAAAGUCACUGUCCUGGUCAAAGUCAACCUUCCCGUUUGACCCUACUCACCGAGUCAACCUAGGGACUCGCCGAGUUCGUGAACUCAAAAACCACACAAUUUGCGACCUGACUCGCCGAGUCACCCCAUGACUCGUCGAGCUCUUCAAUCCGAGUCCUAGCCUGUCUAACUCACUGAGUCCACUCAACUCUUUGAUCUGCAUUAUAACCAGAUGGGUUAGGGUUUGCGACCCAACUUGUCGAGUCCAAGAACAGACUCGCCGAGUCUAUUUAAGUCAUCCCUAUUCAGACGAUUUCAUACCAUCUCACUGCUUCCAACUCAUAGAUAUGGACUCCUAGGGCUAGUUUCACACGUAAAGUUUCCAACUUUACGUGCAUGCAAGGCAAUAUAGGCUCAACACAAGCUAGAAAGAAGGUUCAAGACAAGAAUGCUCUCAAAUGAGCAAAAAGGCUGAUACUUUAUGCCUCCAUGGACCAAAGAUAAGUCUAGAUCUGAAGUUGCAACCCCAGAUCUAGUCCCAAAACCCAAAAUAGAUUCCAAACAUGCUAAAAAAAACCCCAAAUCAUCAUCCAUGAAAAGAUAUAGGAGGGUAAAGCUCAAGGUAACGACUUGUUACCUCAGAAAUGUGCCCAAGAUGAAGUAGAUUCUAGAUCUACACGAGUUCCUUGAUGCUAGCCUCUUGAUCUACAAGUUUCCUUCACUAGAAUCACCUACCAAAGCUCAAAAACUCUCACCAAUGGCUCACACUCGAUUUUAGGGUUUAUUGACUCUCAAGGGUAACAAGGAGGUUGAGGGGAGGACAUAAGGUCCUUUAAAUAGGGUGCAAACCCUAAGAUUUAGGGUUUUCUCUUCCCAGCACUGAAUCGUCGAGUCCAACCGCCGACUCGGCGAGUCAGGUCACGUAUCACGUGCCCAACACACGUUCCGACUCAACGAGUUAAAGCUCCAACUCGCCGAGUCUACUUUUCCAUUUACACAUUACACCCCUAAACUCUUGCUUCCGAACUUGGGAUGUUACACUGAUUCUCGAUAACCAUGACGUGGUGAUCCCACCACGACCUAGUGAAUGGAAUCUUCACGAUUCUUGAUGCUGACUUGGAGAAUACGGGAUAUAGUAGAGUACCACAUUGCGGUGGAGGUCAACUGUAGCACCUGGUUCCUGGUAUGUAUUUCAUUCAAUUACCUUGCAUUUUGGCCUUGGACUCGGCGAGUUGAGGUCCAACUCGUCGAGUCGGAGCGUCUUGGACGUGGAAGUUUAAUGACCUACUCGACGAGUCGGCGGCCGGUCUCGGCGUGUAGGCGCUGUCCGGAGAAAACCUUACUUUGAGGGUUUGCACCCUAUUUAAACCACUUAUUCAGCCUCACUUUCAUCUCUAAUGCUUCCAGAACUCCCCAUAGCAAACCCUAGCCUUUUUUGAGAAGAAUUAAGGCAUUUUUGUGGAUCUUGCUAGUUGUGACCAUAAAGAGGAAGGUGAAAGACUUGGGGAAACAAGUGGAGACCAGGGGAACCCAAGUUUGUGCAUCAUCCAUAGUUCAUUGGAGGUAUAAAGCUGUUAUCUUGCCCUUUGAUUUGAUAGAUCCCUUUUUGAGGAGAUUUAGGGCUUUUAUAAGCCAUUUUUGGUGACCAACCAUGAUUGCAAGCAUGGUUGGGGGUUGAUGCUUCAGAAUUAGGUCAUUAAGGGAGUUACAAGGUAGUUAGGGGCUGCUUUUGUACCCAUGUAAGGUCCCAUGCAUCAUGAGGGCUUAUUUUAUGUCCUUUUAAGCUCAAAGUCCCAUGCAUGCAUGCAAAUUUUGUAACUUUACGUGAUAGAACGAUUGAAGUAGCUUAGAUCUAUCUUUUGGUCAAAGAGUUGUACGAUAGAAAUCGAGAAAUGAGACAUGGACAUACUCGACUCGACGAGUCGUUCUUAGGACUCGGCGAGUCCGAGGCGAGACUCCCCUUUUCUGUUGGAGAGUGACCCAACGUAUUGGACUUAGCCUUAGACCUGGAGUUCAUGGGACUUGACGAGUGCUAGAACAGACUUGGCGAGUCCAAGGUAAUCUCCUAUUAGUUGAAGAUGAACUCGACGAGUUGUUUAUACAACUCGUCGAGUCAAGGACAUGGCUUGUUCAUCAGAAGAAGGUGAACUCGACGAGUUGUUCAUACAACUCGGCGAGUCGGAUGAAGGUUCAUUCGUUGUUCAUAUAGAUGAAGAACUCGUCGAGUCGUUGCUAAACUCGACGAGCAGAGUCGUGGAUAAGGACAAGUAAAUGGUUAGGGACUCGACGAGUUGACAGCCCAACUCAGCGAGUCGGGUCAACGGGAAGUUGACUUUGACUUGGAUUUGGUUAGGGGUAAAAUAGUUAUUUUACCCUAAGAGUAGAUAUCAAAUUCUGACUGAGUGUUUUGUGGGGAUUAUAGCCAGAUGAUUUCCAGAGCAGUAGCAGAUAGAGGUCUCCCGCACAGCUUAUCAGCAGCUACUCGUACGAGGUAAGUUACCUUCCAGUAGCGGUGCGUCUAAGGCCAUAAUGUCGGCCCACCAGUAAGAGUCGUACGAUAGGUGAUUAUCUUUGUGAUAUUCACCUAGGAUUACUAUUACCUGAUAUGUUUAUAUGCUAGCACGAUAUGUGUUUAUGUAACAUCCAUAAAUUUUACGCCAAAUUUAAACUUUUCAAUCAUAAAUAAAAAUCAAAUAACAUUGUUUACAAAAUGUUUUCAAAUCAUUAUCCAUCAGAGUGUCCCAAAAAUCAUAACAUAAGGAUGAGGAGCAGUACGGUCACGCCUUCGCCUUUCCAUGAUCCCUUGAAGUACCUGAAACAAUAAACUGAAAACUAUAAGCCCGAGGACUUAGUGAGCUACCCCCAAAAUACCAAUACCACACUGACAAUACCAUAUCAGUAAUAAUCAAUCAAUUAACAUGCAUACUGGGUCAUCAGCCUGACUGGACCGCCCUACAGGGCCUACAGUCUAUCUGAAUCUAUCCCGAGCCUUCGACAUGACUGGUCCGCCACGUGGGCCUAUAGUCUCCCCGGACUGCUCAUAGGGUGUGUUGGCCUACCGCACAAAGCAUGAACGCCUCAACCCAACCAACAAGCAAAUACUAUGUACGCAUAACUAUCAUAUACUGGCAUAUAUAAACAUCAAGCAUAUCUAUCACUGGUCGUCAAUCAUAGAAUUCUAUCGUAACUAGACUACCGACCUAGGAGGUUACUAACUUACCAAUCCCUACGGAUCAUAAGAGCAUAGCAUACUGUCUACCCUGAUUCCGAUCUAACAGAUCAUAACCACAUAUAGCAUACCAUAACAAUAACAACUAAAGGGUCGGCCUUGGUGCCAUAGACCCUAUCAAUAUAGUGAGGACAACUCACCUCGCAGAUGUCGACUCGGAAGGUAAGCUCCAACUCUCGGAUCACUUGACACAGGCUCCACCACCUAUAGAACAAUAUGCUCGUAAGUCCUUGACCUUAUAAGGUACUCCAUAACCCACUAGUCAACCCCUGAUCAAAGUCAAAGUCCUCAGUCAAGGUCAACAGUCCAUGUUGACCUCGACUCGCAGAGUACCCUCGGCUACUCGCCGAGUUCCUUGAAGCACAUUCCAACUCACCGAGUCAUUAGGGUGACUCGUCGAGUUCCUUCGAUUCUCGAACAAACUUUAAGGCCACCCGUCGAGUUCCUACCUUGCAACUCGAUGGAUACACACAUAUACAUAUCCAGGAGAAAACUCAUCCGACUCGCCGAGUUGUUCUUCAACUCGCCGAGUCUAUGACAAUCAUAAUUGGACUCGCCGAGUUGUUCAUCCAACUCAUCGAGUUCACGGUCAUCUUCAUGUGACUCGCCGAGUCAACCUUGCGACUCGCCGAGUCCAUUCGGUCCUUUUCCCAUACAGACCUAUUUUGAUCCAUGCAGCGGCUCCAACUCACAGAUCCAAGCUUCUAGGGCAUGCUUAUCACGUAAAGUUGCAAACUUUACGUGCAUGCAUGGCUUUAAAUGCUCCAAAUGCCAAAUCUAAGCUCUUAAUGGGGCUUCAUGCCCAAGAGGGACCUCAAUCACGACCAAAACUGUAUCUUUAUGCUUCUAGAAUCCGAAGAGGGUCCAGAUUUGAAGUUACAACUUCAGAUCUAACCCAUAGCUCAUCAUACCAACUUGAUAUUCCAACAAAACCCUAAAACUCAACCAAUAGAGGAGAUAUAUAAGGAAAAUGACGAUUUAGGUACCUCUGGAAGAUGAUAUCUGAGAUGAAUGUUGAUUUCCACACUCUAAUUGCUCCAAUCCCUCCUCCUCCAAGUCUUCUCCUUCAAAAAAUCCUCUUUUCAAGCUUCAACACAUACACAAGUCACACACACACACACGAAUAAGGGCUCUCAAGGACUCCUUAGAACUGUAAAGAGGUCCAAGGGAGACUAAGGUCCCUUUAAAUAGGGGUACAAACCCCGGGAUUUAGGGUUUUAUCUGCCAGCUCCUACUCGCCGAGUCCCAAUAUGGACUCGUCGAGUACGUCACUGAACACGCGAUCCCACCCCACUGCUACUUGACGAGUAGGGAAAUCAACUCGUCGAGUAGAGCUUAACCCAAUACAUCUUAUUUAAAACAAUACCUGAUAAUCGGGGCAUUACAACUCUCCCCCACUUGAACUAGACUUCGCCCUCGAAGUCCGCUGGAAUAAACAAUGUCGGGUACUUCUCGCGCAUCUCCGCCUCCGGCUCCCAUGUCCACUCGGAUCCCCUCCGAUGUUCCCAUUGUACCUUUACCAAAGCUAUUUCCUUGUUCCGCAGAAUCUUCUUCUUCCUUUCCAAAAAAGCCACAGGCCUCUCCACAUAGUUCAGGCGAUCAUCGAACUGAAUGUCAUCCAACGAUACCACUGCCUCCUGAUCCAUAAUGCAUUUUCGCAAUUGCGAAACAUGAAACGUGCUGUGGAUCCGGCUGAGCUCCUCCGGAAGCUCUAGCCUAUAAGCCACCCUGCCGACCCUGGCAACAAUCCUGAAUGGCCCAAUGUAACGGGGGCCCAAAUUUCCCCUCUUCCUGAAGCGGAUCACACCCUUCUAGGGCGAGACUUUCAGGAGGACCAUGUCACCCACUUGAAAUUCCAGCUCAGAUCGGCGUUGGUCGGCAUAACUUUUCUGUCGGCUCUGAGUGGUCUGCAGUCGCUGUCUAAUCUGCUGUAUCAUUUCGGUAGUUUGCAGGACUAUCUCUGUCCGACCCAUUACCCUGUGCCCAACCUUGCCCCAGCAGACUGGGGUCCUACACUUCCGCCCAUACAACAGCUCAAAAGGCGGGGCGCCAAUACUAGAAUGAUAGCUGUUGUUGUAGGUGAACUCUGCAAGCGGUAGGUGGGAAUCCCAACUCCCACCGAAAUCAAUGACGUACGCCCUCAACAUAUCCUCGAGGUUCUGAAUGGUCCGCUCACUCUACCCAUCAGUCUGCAGAUGGAACGCCGUGCUAAAAUGCAGUCUCGUACCUACUUCCUCGUGGAACUUCUGCCAAAAACGAGAAGUAAAUCUGACAUCCCGAUCGGACACAAUGGAAACUGGGACCCCAUGGCGAGAGACAAUCUCACGGACGUACAGGGCGGCCAACUUCUCUACCGACGAACUCUCCCGUAUGGCUAGGAAAUGGGCGCUCUUGGUCAAUUGAUCCACGAUGACCCAUAUAGCAUCGAACCCCUUUGCCGUCUUCGGCAACUUCGUGAUGAAAUCCAUCGCGAUCCGCUCCCAUUUCCACAUGGGAAUCUCCAGAGGCUGCAACUUACCGUGCGGCCUCUGAUGUUCAGCCUUGACCAUCCUACAGGUCAAGCACUUCUCAACAAACCAAGUGAUAUCUUGCUUCAUACCAGGCCACUAAUAACUCAAACUUAAAUCAUGGUACAUCUUGGUGGCUCCCGGGUGAAUAGAAAACUGGGACUUAUGAGCCUCCUCCAUCACUGUCUGUCGGACCCCUCCGGUCAUCGGAACCCAAACCCGAACGUAACGGGUCAAGAAUCUGCGACUAUCCUGAACAAAACGGGCGCUUUCGCCCUUAAUCCUUUCCAACUUCUAGUUCUCCAGCCUCAUAACCUCAAUCUAAGCAUCCCUGACCAAACCCACCAGCGGGGAAUUCACCGCUAUCCUCAUACACUUGGCCAGGGUAGAGGACCCAGACUUGCGACUCAGAGCAUCCGCAACCACGUUCACUUUACCAGAAUUAUAAAGGAUCUCACAAUCAUAGUCCUUGACCACAUCCAGCCACCUGUGCUGCCUCAUGUUUAGGUUUGGCUGAUCCAUGAUAUGUCUAAAACUCUUGUGAUUUGUGUAUAUAGUACAACGGACCCCAUACAGAUAGUGCCUCCAAAUCUUGAGAGCGAAGACCACCGCUCCCAACUCAAGAUCGUGCGUGGGGUAUCUCAUCUCGUGCGGCUUCAGCUGCCUCGAUGCAUAAUCUAUCACUCGUCCCCUCUGCAUGAGGACUGUCCCCAAACCUGUGAUGGGCGCAUCACAAAGCACCACAAAAUCCUCAACUCCAUUGGGGAGUGUCAACACCGGCGCCUCGCAUAAACAUCGCCGCAGGGUCUCAAAUGCCCUUUGCUACUCAAGGCCCCACCGGAAAUCUACCCCCUUCCUCGUUAGACGAGUGAGGGGUACGACAAUCUUGGAGAAAUCAUGAAUGAAUCUCCGAUAAUACCCUGCUAAAAUCAAGAAACUCCUUAUGUCUGAGGGAGACUUCGGAGUCUCCUACUGCAUAACUGCCUCUACCUUGGCCGGAUCGACCAAAAUGCCCUCCUGGUUAACAAUAUGUCCGAGGAACUGGACCUCUCGCAACCAAAACUCACACUUCGAGAACUUGGCAUAAAGUCGUUCUCGUCGCAAAACCUCCAACAGCUCCCUGAGAUGCUCCUUAUGCUGCUCUCAGGUCUUGGAAUACACCAAGAUAUCAUCUAUAAACACAAUGACCGAGUGAUCCAGCAUCGGUCUGCAGAAUCGGUUCAUCAGAUCCAUGAACACUGUCGGCGCGUUGGUGAGCCCAAACGGCAUCACCACGAACUCUUAAUGACCAUAACGAGUCCGAAACGUGGUCUUCUCCACGUCUUCCUCCCUCACCCUUACCUGGUGAAAUCCUGAUCUCAAGUCAAUCUUGGAAAACCAAGAUGCACCCUGCAGCCGAUCGAAAAGAUCGUCUAUCCUCGGGAGCGGAUAACGGUUCUUCAAUGUUUAUUUGUUCAGCUCCCUGUAGUCAAUGCACAUCCUGUGCGAACCGUCCUUCUUCCUGACGAAAAGGAUUGGUGCUCCCCAGGGUGAACUACUCGCACGAAUAAACUGCUUACCCAGCAGCUCCUGUAACUGAGAUGAUAGCUCCUGCAUCUCAGGCGGUGCCAAUCGGUACGACGCCUUGGCGAUAGGGGCCACACCUGGCACUAGGUCAAUCCUGAACUCAACCUGCCUCUCCGGAGGCACUCCGUGUAACUCCUACGGAAACACAUCAACAAACUCCCUCACCACCAGGACCUCAGAAACUGAGUCGCUCUCUAACCCCCGUAUCUACCACAUACGCCAAAUAACCGGCACACCCGUGCUGAAUAUACUGUCGAGCCCUGGCUGCCGGACAAAACCCUGAUCCCAACCUGGUGCCCUCACCAUAAACUACAAGUUCUCCCCCACUUGGGGUUUGAACCACCACCCGCUGUCCCUCACAGUCGAUCAUGGCGCCAAACCGGCUAAGCCAAUCCAUCCCUACAAUCACGCAUACAUCCCCCAUGGGGAUAGGAAUCAAAUCUAUCGGGAAGGACACCCCGAAAAUCUCCAACUCGUAUCCCCGGAAGACCGCAGAAGCAGAAACCCCGUGCUCAUUGACGAUCGAAACUCGCAACGGGCACUCAAGAUCAUCUAUCGGCACACUGAACCCUCUAGAGAAGGGCUGAGAUACAAACGAUCGACUCGCCCCCGAGUCAAAUAAUACCAAAGCGGGCAAAGGAUUCACUAAAAACGUACCUAAUCACAGGUACAAUCAAUAAGCAUAACACAAAUACAAUAACUAAGACAGAGAAUAGAAACGUACCGGCAACCACAUCUAGUGCUGACUUGGCCUCCUCGGCCAUGAGUUGGAAGACGCGGCCCUGAGCCUUUGGAGGCUCCACCUCCAAUCCUCACAGUAGCUGACGCGGAAUCCUGCACAGUGGCGAGCUGCGGACAAUUGGUCUUCACAUGACCAACCUGAUGAUACUGGUAACCAAUCCUCAUAUCUGCUGGAGGGGCGGACUGAAGGCAGUCCCUGGCAUAGUGCCCCUCAUUGUUACAUUUGUGGCACCCACCUCCCGCUCGAUAAACCCCCGAAUGAGCCUUGCCGCACUUUCCACAAGUGUGGCUCUGAUGGCCCCCAGACUGUGUAUCAGCGAUCUUAGACCGCUUAGGCACCAGCUGAGAAUGUGCCGGUGCCUGACGCUGCUCCUUCAGCUGCAGCUCUAUCUCCCACUCACGCCGCCUCGCGGCUUCCUGAAGGUCAAGGAGGGUAUCACAACGUUGUGUAGCCACAAACUGCCGUAUAUCCGUCUUGAGCAUACUCAGAUAACGAGUCAUCUGAGACUGCUCUGACGCAACUCCGGGAAAAACAUAGCCCUCUCAGUGAACAUCCGGGUGAUCUCCAUCACAGACUCCCCAUCCUUUCUCAAUGUCAAAAACUCCUGAGCAAGCCGCUCCCGUUCCACGUGCAGAAUGUAGCGGGUGCGAAACAUAUCCCGGAACUGCUCCCAAGUAAUAGCAGCCUGCUGAUCAUCAGAAUAUGAACUUGUCGUCAAUCUCCACCAGUCCUUUGCCCCGAGCCUAAGCAGGUUCAUAGCACACUUGACCUUCUGGUCAGCAGGACAUGAGCACGUGAAGAAACAACCCUGCACGUCAGCAACCACCGCAUAGCCCUGAUCGCAUCCUGUGUACCAUCAAAUGUCGGGGGCUUCGUAUUAUCGAAGUCCCGGUACUGGAAAGCCCUGUCGGCUCCUCCUCCAACCCCUACCGCAGUUACAGCCGAAGUGGCUGCAACGGNNNNNNNNNNNNNNNNNNNNNNNNNNNNNNNNNNNNNNNNNNNNNNNNNNNNNNNNNNNNNNNNNNNNNNNNNNNNNNNNNNNNNNNNNNNNNNNNNNNNNNNNNNNNNNNNNNNNNNNNNNNNNNNNNNNNNNNNNNNNNNNNNNNNNNNNNNNNNNNNNNNNUAUAUAUAUAUAUAUAUAAGUCAUCAGAUAAAUAACAUAAUGUCAGGAGACCAAAACACACAAACCCUAGGGGUUGUGAUUUCCUCGCUACGCGUAUGGAUCCUGUGCUUUCAGUAGUACGGGCCCACACUACCUUCCACACCUACCCAUAUUUGUCUCAAGUAUCACCACAACGCCCUAACAAUAUCAUCAACAUAGGAAAUACGCUCAAACCUCACUUCUAGGGGAAUACCAAAUAUCUUGCAUCUAGUCUCACAACUUAUCACGACCCACACAUCCAUGAAACUUCCAUCAUCCCCUGCAGCGCCAGUGUAUGCUAGCUGCACAUAACGUUGAACCCAAUAGACUUUCGAAUAUCCAAUCCUACCCGAAGGCCGAAUCAACCUUCUCAGGCUAUAAGGUCUUUAUUAUGUACAACCGUGAUGCAUACACUAAACAUCUACAGUUAUGAUGUCAAUUCCACGCACAAGAAACCCUAGGUUAAUAGGCAUUAUGUAAUCAAGCAAAUCUAUCAUGCAAUUCCUGAAGAUCCCUAGCCUAGCACUAGCAUGUUGUUCUAACAUAUCAGAAUAUCAAAUAACUGCAUGGUAUUUUGGGGUUUACUUAUAGGCUCCGGCUGAUCGUACCCUCUGCAUCCUCCAUCCGACUCGCCGAGUUGUUCUUCAACUCGCCGAGUCUAUGGAAAUCAUCAUCGGACUCGCCGAGUUGUUCAUCCAACUCAUCGAGUUCACAGUCAUCUUCAUGUGACUCGUCGAGUCAACCUUGCGACUCGCUGAGUCCAUUCAGUCCUUUUCCCAUACAGACCUAUUUUGAGCCAUGCAGCGGCUCCAACUCACAGAUCCAAGCUUCUAGGGCAUGCUUAUCAAGUAAAGUUGCAAACUUUACGUCCAUGCAUGGCUUUAAAUGCUCCAAAUGCCAAAUCUAAGCUCUUAACGGGGCUUCAUGCCCAAGAGGGACCUCAAUCACGACCAAAACUAUAACUUUAUGCUUCUAGAAUCCGAAGAGGGUCCAGAUCUGAAGUUACAACUUCAGAUCUAGCCCAUAGCUCAUCAUACCAACUUGAUAUUCCAAGAAAACCCUAAAAAUCAACCAAUAGAGGAGAUAUAUAAGGAAAAUGACGGUUUAGGUACCUCUGGAAGAUGAUAUCUGAGAUGAAUGUUGAUUUCCACACUCUAAUUGCUCCAAUCCCCUCCUCCUCCAAGUCUUCUCCUUCCAAAAAUUCUCUUUUCAAGCUUCAACACAUACACAAGUCACACAGACGAAUAAGGGCUCUCAAGGACUCCUUAGAACUGUAAAGAGGUCCAAGGGAGACUAAGGUCCCUUUAAAUAGGGGUACAAACCCCCGGGAUUUAGGGUUUCAUAUGCCAGCUCCUACUCACCGAGUCCUAAUAUGGACUCGUCGAGUAGGUCACUUAACACGCGAUCCCACCCCACUGCUACUCGACAAGUAGGGCAAUUAACUCGUCGAGUAGAGCUUAACCCAAUACAUCUUAUUUAAAACAAUACCUGAGAAUCGGGGCGUUACAGUUUAUGUGGUAGUAGUAAGGUGAAAUAGUCCCCAGUAGUCGGGUGAAAUAGACAGACGGGUAUGUCAAGCACCCCAUAAUGGCUUGACCUGGGUAAGUCAGACACCCCAUAAUUGUCUGACAGUACAUUAUGUUAUGCUAUGUGUUUAUUUGGUAGUAGUAGGGGGUGAAAUAGUCCCAGGUAGUCGGGUGAAAUAGCCCGACGGGUACGUCAAGCACCCCAGAAUGGCUUGACCUGGGUACGUCAAACACCCCAGAAUGGUUUACCCUGGGUAAGUCAGGCGCCCUAGAAUUGUCUGACAGUAUAUUGUAUGGUAUGUGGUACGAUGGGGGAAUUCACAAAGCUUCGUGCUUACAGUUUUCAGUUUUGUUUCAGGUACCUCUCCAGCGAAGGGGAAGGAGCUGGCGCGGUAGGUGCACAUCAUGCACACACCUCAGAUUCUGUACUAUGAGAUUCAUUGGGAUUGUACUCUAACAUUAUCACUAUUUUACGAUUGGGUUUUCAGACAUUAUACAUUGUUUUAUGAGAUGUUAUGAUUCGACAAUAUUUUCCUACGAAUGUUUAAUUAAAUUAAUUAAUUAAAACGAAAUUUAUGGACGUAAAAAUUGGGUUGUUUCAUCAACCAUGAUGUGGUGACCAUAUUUUGGUAAUUAUAUAUAUUCCGAACAUUUGGUUGAUUCGAUAGGGUAGAUGGAUUAAGGAUGCAAUUAUUUACGAUGAAAGACCCUUCCUAGAACACUUGGAGGGCAUAAUUCGACUAUAUAUCAAAGGAUAAAAGAGAUUGGAGCAAGGAUUCACAUCUACGCAUUCGGUUUUCUUAUUUUAAUGAUGUUUAGCUUAGUUUACCUUUUGUUUAUGUGUUUUCUAGCUGUGAUUAUAGGCUAAUAACCCUUGCUUUUGUUUAGAUUAGAUGAACUUUUAAUUACUAUGUGUUGAUUUCUUGUUUAAUGGAUUGAUGAAGUUGGUUUUUGCUUUAAAUAUUGUUUGAUAAAUCUAAACCUAGCUUGUUAAAGUUCAUAUCUUUAUUUUAUCGUCUCAAGUUUUGUGUAAUUAAACUGCUGUUGAUUGCAUGAAAUUGAUUUACCUAGUUUUUUAUAAUCAUUAAAUUGCUAGAGAUAGGAUUGGCCAUAUCCUAGUAUAUGUGAUAAGUUAGUUGUUUAACUGUGUUAGAGAGCUGUAUUUGAUCAUAAUAUUUGUUCAAUUAUUAUACUUGCCCAAAGAAAAGUAAUCUGUAGAUUCUAUCAUUCAGAGUCUAAAUUACCUUUAAAAUUAAUUUAGUGUCCUUAACUUGCAUGAUCAUUGGGGUUAAAGUUGUUAAAUUCACUUAUGCUAGUCAGUCUGACCAUGAUGACUGGUUAAUUUUAUUUGGUAACUAACAGAAUUAAUCCAUUGUCUUGAAAUCAACCACAGGAAAAAGGAUGGAUUCGAAUCUAAAUAAGAGUAUCUUUUAUUCUUUGUUUUAAAUAAUCUUUGUAGUCAUUAAUUAGGUAUUUUAGUUUAAGUUUUUUCUAAACUUGUAAAAUUAGAUAAAAGCCACACUUUUAGUCGCUUUUAGUAGUUAUUUUAUUAAUUAAAUACCGUUCCCUGUGAUCGACACAUGAUUUACCCAAGCUAUUCCAUAAUCUUACUAGGUACACUGCCUAUAAAUGCAUAAUUUAGCUAAGUAGUUAAGUUUAUAAAAUUAAAGCUAGAUAGGUAUAUAAAGUGCACAUCCAUGCACGAUCUCAAAGUGGGAUACACAAACCAAAUCCCAAAUAUGCCCUUCACUCCAGUUCUAUUUCUCUGAUUCCUACUUCUCCUAAGUCAACUCUCCUUGACUGAAACUGUAAUUGUGCUAUGACCAAUGAAUUUAAUGCUUUACUUAAACAGAAUACAUUGUCAUUGGAUUUUUCGACAUAAAUUUAAGCCAGACAUGUCUCUUGAGCGGUACAAAGUUCGUUUGGUUGUUAAUGGUAAGUCACAAGAGUUUGGUGUGGACCAAUGUUGUAAAAAUCGUUUGGCGGUAGCUCGGCGGUCGACUAGCGAUAAACGAUUAAUCGGACUAGGCGGGGAUUAAUCGGAGAUUAAUCGAGGACCCUUAAUUCUUAAUAAAAUUAUUUAAAAAAUUAAUAUUCUCUAAAAAACUAAGUAUUUGAAAAUUUAAAAUUUCAAAAUUUCAAAAUUUUGAAAAUUUUAGUUUAAUUUUUUAAAAUUUGAAAGCUUAAAAAUUUGAAAAUUAUUUUUUUUUGAAUUUUUUAAAAAUUUCCGCCUAUGACCGCCGAGACCGCCAAGGGCCGCCAAGGCCGACUUUGACCGAUUUUGACCAAUUUCCGCCAAGCACCUUAAUCGUAAUUGGUUUAAGGCCGCCAAACGAUUAAUCGCCGAUUAAUCGGCCGCCAAGGCCGAUUUCUGCAACACCGGUGUGGACUAUGGCGAAACGUUUAGUCCUGUUGCCAAAUUUGCAACAAUCCGAACAGUUAUUAUUCUUGCAUUGAGUUAUCAUUGAUCUAUUCACCAACUUGACGUCCAAAACACUUUCCUCCAUGGGAAUCUCAAGGAAAUAGUCUACAUACAACAACCUCUAGGUUUUGUGGAUCCAAGUUUUCCUGGAUAUGUUUUUAAGUUACGUAAGUCGUUAUAUGGGUUGAAGCAAGCACCACAGGCUUGGUAUCAACGAUUUUCUCCCUACUUGUUGAGUAUCGGUUUUGUUUGCAGUAAGAGUGACAACUCUUUGUUUAAUUUUUGAAAAAUAAUGAAUAUGAUUAUCUACUUGUCUAUGUCGAUGGCAUAGUUUACGACUUCUUCCCCUCAGAUAAAGGUCCAAAUCAUAUCUUCCUUAAAAUCUGAUUUUCACAUGAAUGACCUCUAGUAAACUCACUUACUUCUUGGGUAAUCCAGUUAGCUACUCUAAAGCCAAUAUGUUUCUUUCACAACAAAAAUACGCAGGUGAUAUUCUCAAGAGAGCCAAAAUGGAAACCUAUAAAUCAGAUGCUACACCAACAAACACUAACUCUAAGCUCAAUAUUUUGGUUGGUGAUCUAGUUGCUGAUCCUAGUACCUAUUUCCAGUUAGUUGGUGCUCUAUAGUAUCUAGCUUUUACUAGACCCGACAUCGCCUAUGUUGUUCACCAAAUGUGUAUCUUCAUGUAUGCUCCACGGGAACCACACUUAAAUGCUUUAAAACACAUUCUUCGUUAUUUAAAAGGUACUCUUCAACUUGGCUUGCAUCUGUACUCUAGCAAGCCAUCUCAACUUAUUGAAUAUAUUGAUGCCGAUCGGGGGUGGUUGUCCCAACACACAUCCUUCGACAUCCCGAUAUUGUGUAUUCCUAGGUGAUAAUUUGAUUUCGUAGUCUAUUAAACGACAACCGACCUUGAUCCGUUCAAGUGUUGAAGCCGAAUACCUUGGGGUUGCUAAUGGUGUUGCUUAGGCUUGUUGGUUGCUUAAUCUUCUUUUCGCGCUUCAAACCCCUCUCAAGAUUGCUACUUUGGUUUAUUGUGAUAAUGUUUCCGCUCUCUACUUAUCUGGUAAUCCCGUACAAAACCAAUAUACGAAACAUAUUGAAAUGGACAUACACUUCGUCCGGGAGAAAGUUGCUCCUAGUCACAUCCGUGUUCUACAUAUCCCUUCUGCUUAUCAGUAUGCAAUCCGUGUUCUACAUAUCCCUUCUGCUUAUCAGUAUUCAGACAUUUUCAUCAAAGGAUUGCCUUGUCAACUCUUCUUGGACUUCAAAUCUAGUUUGAACAUACGUCCUCCUCCCGCUCCAGAGGGGGUCUAUUAGACGAGAUUAUUUCCUUGUUUAUUGUGUGUUAUAUUUGGCAUUGAUCCCUUUGUAUUUGUAUUUAUAUCCACACAAUAAUGAAUGAGAAGACAAGAAUUAAUUCAUAUUGUAUUAGAUUUCAUUAUGUUGAUAGAUUCCAUGCAUCAUUCGAGGAUGGGGACAAGCUUAGGCACUCGACGAUGGGGACACGGAUGGUUAACCCCGCCUCAUCCCACCCCAUUUCCAUCCUUAUGUGUAACUCCAUGGAUUUUAACUAUCAACUUUAAGGAGUUCCCACAUCGGUUUAACAAGGAAGGUCCACACUCCUCAUCUUUUAUAUAAUGAUUUUUGGAGGCUCUUAGGGUUGGGGUAUUCCUAACAUAACCAUUAUUUGGUUGGUGCCCAAAUAGCUAAUGUCAAAGUUUUCUAGUUUAAACCAAUAGGUUCGUUUUAUGCAUAAUCAUUUGGAACGAUAAUAUAUCUCCACUGCUUGCAUAAUCCGUAUAAAAAAACUUUUGUUGGAUAAACAGAUCAAGACUUUGUUCAAGAAUUGGGAUUGUUCCUGAACACAAAAGUGCAAGUUGCUAACAAUGGUGGAUGGACACAUUUCGUGGGGUUUGUUUUUUUAUUUCUUAUGCGGUUUUCGUGGUAGCAUUUUUAAAAAAAAUAUAUAUUUUUUGAAAAUAAUGGUUCAUGGAAACUAAAGUCACAGAUUCAGCUUUCUAGGGUUUGAACAAAUAAAUUACAACUGAUACACGAGGCAAUAGGGUCGAAAUCGCAGAUUUUGGAAAGUGUUUAUAUACAUUAUCCUUAAAUUAUCCAAGUCAGACUGAUAUUCGAAUCUCAAAAUUGCUAUGUAUGUAGGUUUUCGUAAUUACAUUUUCUUUACAUAUACAUGAUGCAUUAUAGAAUCAUAUAUAGUUGAAAAAAAAAAAGAAUACCAUAAUAAGGGAGGAAUUUACUUGCUAUCGAGCAUUCAUAAGUGUUACGGUGACUUCAUUGAUAGAAUCCAAUGUUGGGGCCGAUGACAAAGAGUUGAUUUCUGUCACAAACCUCUCUUCCGCAAAAAAUGCAGGUUGCUUAGGUGGAGGCAAAUAGUUCUCAUUACCCAGCAUAAGAACCACUGACGACAUCGUGGGCCUAUCUUCUGCAUGAUGUUGCACGCAUAACAAACCAAUAUGCACUGCCCGUAGUACUUGAGAGGC
rnacentral:lncRNA from 1 species